CCUCCAUCCAUUUUCCUUCUCUCUCCCUCACGUUGUUCGCAACAAAGCCAGGAAGCGACGAGCAGCAUAAAAAAAGAAAAGGCGAGAAGAGACAAAAGGCCAAAACGGCCUGGUACAGAGGAGGACGCCGCGAGCUGGCGGAAUAGGCAGGAACGUACGGUCCAUUGGAAUUUGGAGUGCAGUCUGGCUAGAGAGAAGGAGAGGGGGGAUCUCCGAAAAAGAAGAACCUGGCAGACCCCUCAUCCUUCAUCUCGCCCGAACAAUCACCACCACCGUCGCCGUUCGACGUUCUCUAGCCGGCAGCAUCCUUCUCGCGGCUUCUCCCUCCUGGAUCCCUGACAUUUCCUCCAAAGAGGAGCGGAAGAAGAGCAAAAGAGGGGGGGAAGGCCAUCUUCUUUCUGGAGAGAGCUUGAAGAGAGAAAAUACAGAGAGAGGGAGAGUUGGCCGGAGGAGAGAGCUCACUGGGGAUUCCCUCUGGUGUCUUCUCCGAAUCAUCUCCACAGUGGCCAUGGAGUAUUGUGGACUCAUGAUCACUAGUGAUCAUAUUCAUUAAAAAAAGAAAAAAAGAAGGAAGAAAGCCGAGGGAGAGUUUUGGUGGUGGGAGUUCGUCAGAAGGAAGGUUGAACUGGGAAAGAAAGUUUUUUUCAUUCACCGGUGGUCCGCCCUAAUCGCCGUCGUUCUCGUCGGAGGCUCGCCUACCGGUCGCCGUUCGUCGUCACGGAGACUACCCGAACCAGGUUCAGGUCAUGAACGGUAGUAAAUCCGAACCUGGGAGUGGCAUCUUAAAGUCGCACGUUACCUGUUUGACAAAAUGCCCAAAUGAAAGCCGAGACUAUUGCCACCAAAAUACGUUCUUGUUAUCAUCGUCUUAUGCUUCGUUUGUGCUUGAAUCGAUGUUUCAUGACU